rnacentral:rRNA from 1 species
UACGUAGGGGGCGAGCGUUGUCCGAAGUUACUGGGCGUAAAGCGCGCGUAGGCGGGGGUUAAGUGAGAGGUGAAAGGCUGGGGCUCAACCUCAUGCAGUGCCUCUCAUACUGGCCCUUCUUGAGGGCGGUGAGGGAGAAGUGGAAUGGACUGGUGUAGCGGUGAAAUGCGUAGAUAUCAGUCGGAACACCGGUGGCGAAGGCGGCUUCUUGGGCCGUUCCUGACGCUGAUGCGCGAAAGCUGGGGA